CCCAUCCAGGAUGAUGAGCUCAUCUCCUACCUACUGCAUGGGCUGGACAUGGACUACCAGCCCCUCGUCUCCGCCAUCGACGCCCGCGUCACGUCGGUCUCCCUCGAUGAGUUGUACGCCAUGCUGAGCAAUUUUGAUC
rnacentral:snoRNA from 1 species